rnacentral:misc_RNA from 1 species
AAAUUUCAAGAUUUGAAUUUUGGCGCUAUUGAAAAGUGGGGAGGAUUUAGGAAGGCCUCCGAGCUGGUAGAUGGCUCUCAAACUCGGACACGCUACAUUUAACAUUGUGCUCUUAUGGCAGCUUCCACUCUAUCUGAUCCUCUUUGCCCGAACCCAGCCUGUGUAUACUUGUACUGUGUCACAUCAGUCUUCUCUCCGGCUAGAACACAUGCUAGUUACGACGGGGACUUUGUUUUCGAUGAUACCGAAGCUAUUGUUAAUAACAGAGAUGUACGUGACACACCGUUCUGGGAAGUAUUUCAAAAUGACUUUUGGGGAACUAAAUUAUCACACAAACAAAGUCACAAAUCUUAUAGACCAUUUACCACCCUAAGUUUCAGACUACAAUUUUGGUUACGACAAAGCUUAAUUUCACAAGAUUAUCAUAUAAUAAACAUAAUAUUACACAGUAUAAUUUGCCUGUUAACUUUAUUUGUUUACAAUGUAUUUUUGGGACCAAAGGAACAAAGUACCUCGUUCUAUGCCACAGCCUUAUUUACAGUUCAUCCAAUACAUGCAGAGGCUGUGUCUGGAAUUGUUGGACGUGCUGAAUUAUUAUGUAGUUUGUUUACCUGGCUAUCGAUCUUGUUAUAUAAUCAUACAAUAUAUGCAAAAGAUAUGUUACGUGAAUGGGUCACUAUGUCCGGUUUCACUAUUUGCAUAACCGCAGCAAUGCUGUGUAAAGAAACCGGAAUCACCGCUAUCGGUAUUUGCGCAAUAUACGAUAUAGUUAUCGUGAACAAAAUAUAUCCGAUCGACAUAAUUAAUUUUUUUAAACGCGUUUCGUUUAAACGUGCCGAUAAAUUUUCAAAUAACUUUGUCAAAUAUAAAAGUACUUUGCUACGACUCGCUGCACUCGUUUUCAUUGCGAUAACGCUUUUAUUUCUAAGGUUUAGUGUCAUGGGGUUCUCCACUCCAAAGUUUCAAUCAGUAGAUAAUCCAGCGUCUUUUAUGGAUAAUACAUUGUUACGUAUACUUAAUUAUAACUAUAUUUAUUGCCUGAAUAUGUGGCUACUUAUAUGUCCCGUGUGGCUCUGUUUCGAUUGGUCGAUGGGCUGUGUCUCUCUUAUCACUAGCUACGAUUAUAGAAUUCUUGUGAUCAUCAUUUUUUGGUUCAUGUUUGGAACAUUAAUUAUAUACAUGUUUAUCUCUCACAAAAACAAGACUUUAAGAUACGUAAUUAUGGGAUUUACAGUAUUGAUUUGUCCGUUUCUGCCAGCUAGUAAUAUCUUCUUCAACGUCGGAUUUGUUUUGGCAGAGAGAGUAUUAUAUAUUCCUUCAGCGGGAUAUUGUUUGUUAGUUGUUAUUGGUUUGCAGAAACUCACUGCUCGAUUUUCUUUGCCCAAGACAUUGUUACUGGCGUAUGCGAUGCUGAUUGUAUUAUUGUUUUUACGUUCUUGGAUAAGAAGUAAUCAGUGGAGAAAUGAGAAGAUGCUUUUUCAAUCGGCGUUAAACGUAUGCCCUUUGAAUGCAAAAGUACAUUAUAAUAUUGCGAAAAAUGCUGCAGAUGCGGGAAAAGUUAAUCUUGCCAAAUUGGAGUACCAAGAAGCUUUACGAUUAAAUCCAAAAUAUGCUCAAGCUAUGAAUAAUCUUGGCAAUUUACUCAAAGAUGAUGGAAAAUUUUCGGAAGCUAUAAAUUUAUUUAAACAAGCUGUUACUUUACAGAGAGAUUUUUCUACGGCAUGGAUGAAUCUAGGUAUAGUUCAGUCAGCAUUGAAACAAUACGAGGAAUCAGAAACGAGCUACUUUAUGGCUCUACAAUACCGAUCAAAUUAUCCAGAUUGUCAUUAUAAUCUAGGUGUAUUAUAUUUGGAACAAAAGCAAUAUGAUAAAGCGUUAAAGGCUUGGAUAAAUGCAACUAGACAAAAACCUACACAUAAACGUGCCUGGACAAAUAUGAUACUGCUAUUAGACGAUUUAGAUAGGACAGAAGAGGCAUUGAAAAUGGCAACUGAAGCUCUAAAAUUUGUUCCAAAUCAUGCUUCUAUUUAUUUCAACGUUGCUAACAUUUUGGGGAAAAACGGAAAGUACGACGAAGCAGAAGUCCAAUUUAAACAGGCAAUAUUGAGAGAUUCUGCAUCUCCCAUGAUUUACGCAAAUUUAGAGAAGAGUUAGCGGACCGGUGUAAGAUUGCACUUUGAAAGAGCACCCAUGAUGUAAGAAUACCAGGUGAACCAAUUCUGUGGAUGCGCAGUAGUCUAAAGUAAUAACCAAUCAGCAAUGACCCAGAAUACAAGAAUCCAACAUGGCUGCAUUCAGUACAUCAUAGUGUUCCUAAGCGAUAGCCUGAGUAUUUUUAUGCAAUAAUCAGAGUGUUCCUGUGCGAUAACCAGCGUUAUUGAGUAAAAACAAAACUACGAGCAACAUUAAAAACAUAUUGUAAGAUCUAGUAUUCCUGUGCGCGAUAGUCUUGAUUCAAAUUUAGCAGAUGAAGAGAUCAAAAGUCUCAAGAAAAGAGACACUAGCUGACAUCAAAACAUCAUUAACUUGUAAACAGUACAAACAUAAAAUGGAAAUGGGAUACGUUCGUACCCCAGUCUGACGUUUGUGUAUACAUUUGGUUCGGAUACCAUAGGAAACACUGUUUUUUCGUGUUUACAUUUCAUUCAGACAAAUGUUCACUAUGGAAAGAGAGGUACUACAACUGUAUUUACGCAAGCAGCAACGUUCCUGUGUGUGAAGACCACAGAACAAUACAGUGUGGCAAAUGCUGCUUGGAAUCAUAAAAAUAUUUUAAUAUUUUUUUUUAAUUUAAUAUAUUCUAUAUUAAAAAAUAAAUAUUCUUUACAGUUUUAUA